UGCCAACACUAUGUUGUCAUAAAGACAAAAUAGAGAGCACAGACUUUCAAUCCUUCCCGUUCAUUCAGGGGUGGAGUCAGAGAAGGCCUGGUGGAGAGACUUUUAUCACUGUCCAGCGGUAAUGAGGCCACCCUCUAGCAAUAUCAUAGGAAGCCACAUGGAGAGGAAAAAAAACAAGGCAUCCAUGCUCCUUCUAACAAGUGUGAUAUCAGCAGAGACUUAGUGAAGAACCUAAAAAAACCAUACCUACCCAGCAGUAACUAGCAGACCUCCCUUCUCUCUAAUUGUGAGGAUUAAAAGAUAUGUCAUGUCAAACUUGCCACGUGACCUUGGGCAAGUUACUUAAUCAUGCUAAUCUCAGUUUGUGUUAGUAAAAUGAGGUUUACAAUGGUGGUUACCCCUCCAGAGUAAUUGUGAAAAUUAAAAAAGAAAAUGAAUAUAAAGUGUUUCACUGAGAGCUUGUCAGUUAGAAAGUGCUAAAUGUUAAAAUUAUUAUUACAUGUUAGAAAUUAUUUGCACUAUUAGUUAUACUUUUAGUUUUGA
rnacentral:lncRNA from 1 species